UACGUAGGGGGCUAGCGUUGUCCGGAAUCAUUGGGCGUAAAGAGCGUGUAGGCGGUCCGGUAAGUCCGUUGUGAAAGUCAGGGGCUCAACCCUUGAAUGCCGGCGGAUACUGUCGGGCUAGAGUCCGGAAGAGGCAAGUGGAAUUCCCGGUGUAGCGGUGAAAUGCGCAGAUAUCGGGAGGAACACCUAUGGCGAAGGCAGCUUGCUGGGCCGACACUGACGCUGGAAGCGACGAAAGCUAGGGGAGCGAACGGG
rnacentral:rRNA from 1 species